GAAAUGCGAUAGUAAUGUGAAUUGCAGAAUUCAGUGAAUCAUCGAAUCUUUGAACGCACCUUGCGCUCCUUGGUAUUCCUUGGAGCAUGCCUGUUUGAGUAUCAUGAAAUCUUCAAAGUAAAUCUUUUGUUAACUCAAUUGGUUUCUACUUUGGUAUUGGAGGUCUUUGCAGCUUCACACCUGCUCCUCUUUGUUCAUUAGCUGGAUCUCAGUGUUAUGCUUGGUUCCACUCGGCGUGAUAAGUUAUCUAUCGCUGAGGACACUGUAAAAGGUGGCCAAGGUAAAUGCAGAUGAACCGCUUCUAAUAGUCCAUUGACUUGGACAAUACUUUUAUGAUCUGAUCUCAAAUCAGGUAGGACUACCCGCUGAACUUAAGC
rnacentral:misc_RNA from 1 species